rnacentral:rRNA from 1 species
GACGAACGCUGGCGGCGUGCCUAAUACAUGCAAGUAGAACGCUGAAGGAGGAGCUUGCUUCUCUGGAUGAGUUGCGAUCGGGUGAGUAACGCGUAGGUAACCUGCCUGGUAGCGGGGGAUAACUAUUGGAAACGAUAGCUAAUACCGCAUAAGAGUAGAUGUUGCAUGACAUUUGCUUAAAAGGUGCAAUUGCAUCACUACCAGAUGGACCUGCGUUGUAUUAGCUAGUUGGUGGGGUAACGGCUCACCAAGGCGACGAUACAUAGCCGACCUGAGAGGGUGAUCGGCCACACUGGGACUGAGACACGGCCCAGACUCCUACGGGAGGCAGCAGUAGGGAAUCUUCGGCAAUGGACGGAAGUCUGACCGAGCAACGCCGCGUGAGUGAAGAAGGUUUUCGGAUCGUAAAGCUCUGUUGUAAGAGGAGAACGAGUGUGAGAGUGGAAAGUUCACACUGUGACGGUAUCUUACCAGAAAGGGACGGCUAACUACGUG